rnacentral:rRNA from 1 species
AGAACGAACGCUGGCGGCAUGCCUAACACAUGCAAGUCGAACGAAGCCUUCGGGCUUAGUGGCGCACGGGUGCGUAACGCGUGGGAAUCUGCCCCUCGGUUCGGAAUAACAGUUAGAAAUGACUGCUAAUACCGGAUAAUGACGUAAGUCCAAAGAUUUAUCGCCGAGGGAUGAGCCCGCGUAGGAUUAGCUAGUUGGUAGGGUAAAAGCCUACCAAGGCGACGAUCCUUAGCUGGUCUGAGAGGAUGAUCAGCCACACUGGGACUGAGACACGGCCCAGACUCCUACGGGAGGCAGCAGUGGGGAAUAUUGGACAAUGGGCGAAAGCCUGAUCCAGCAAUGCCGCGUGAGUGAUGAAGGCCUUAGGGUUGUAAAGCUCUUUUACCCGGGAUGAUAAUGACAGUACCGGGAGAAUAAGCUCCGGCUAACUCCGCGCCAGCAGCCGC